rnacentral:lncRNA from 1 species
AACCAGGCGCUACGGAAUACCGACAGAUUCUGAGCGGCCCCGACUACCAAGUUUUCGAGAAUGGUACGCUACGCGUGGCACAAGUGCAUGUCUCGGACCGGGGUUCGUACCUGUGCCAAGCCAGCAACGGCGUCGGCACUGGACUCAGCACGGUGAUCACGCUCAACGUCCAUGUGCCAGCGCGCUUCAACGAGUCCUACCGGAACCAGACCGUGCAGCGGGGUCACAGCGUCGGCCUCGAGUGCAGGGCCUCCGGCGAUGCGCCCAUCACCGUCAGCUGGAGCCGCAACGGACGCCGACUGGACACUCACAAAUUGCGGGGCUCACGCGUGAAGAACAAGUCGCUGCCGGAUGGAAUUGUGUCCACUCUGUCACUGCCCGGGGCACAGCGGGAGCAUUCUGGAAUUUACGUGUGCGAAGUGGCCAAUAACUACGGCCAGGACGAGAAGCACAUCCGGCUCAUCGUGCAAGAACCACCAGAAGCGCCGACUGGUUUCAACGUGACCAGCGUCAACAGUCGUUCAGCGAGCCUGGCGUGGAGCGAGCCAUACAAUGGCAACAGCCCAAUCC